GUAGGGAAUAUUGGACAAUGGGCGCAAGCCUGAUCCAGCAAUGCCGCGUGUGUGAAGAAGGCCUGCGGGUUGUAAAGCACUUUUGUCCGGGAAGAAAGGUUCGUGAUAAACAGUUGCGGACUCUGACGUAACCGGAGGAAAAAGCACCGGCUAACUCUGUGCCAGCAGCCGCGGUAAUACAGAGGGUGCGAGCGUUAAUCGGAAUCACUGGGCGUAAAGGGUGCGCAGGCGGUUGGACAAGUCGGAUGUGAAAUCCCCGGGCUUAACCCGGGAACCGCAUUCGAAACUGUCCGGCUUGAGUACGGUAGAGGGAAGCGGAAUUCCGGGUGUAGCGGUGAAAUGCGUAGAUAUCCGGAGGAACACCAGCGGCGAAAGCGGCUUCCUGGACCGAUACUGACGCUGAGUCACGAAAGCGUGGGGAGCAAACAGGAUUAGAAACCCGGGUAGUCC
rnacentral:rRNA from 1 species